GACGAACGCUGGCGGCGUGCUUAACACAUGCAAGUCGAACGGUAAGGCCCUUCGGGGUACACGAGUGGCGAACGGGUGAGUAACACGUGGGUGAUCUGCCCUGCACUUCGGGAUAAGCCUGGGAAACUGGGUCUAAUACCGGAUAGGACUCCGGACUGCAUGGUCUGGGGUGGAAAGCUGUUGCGGUGUGGGAUGGGCCCGCGGCCUAUCAGCUUGUUGGUGGGGUGAUGGCCUACCAAGGCGACGACGGGGAGCCGGCCUGAGAGGGUGAACGGCCACACUGGGACUGAGAUACGGCCCAGACUCCUACGGGAGGCAGCAGUGGGGAAUAUUGCACAAUGGGCGCAAGCCUGAUGCAGCGACGCCGCGUGAGGGAUGACGGCCUUCGGGUUGUAAACCUCUUUCAGCACAGACGAAGCGCAAGUGACGGUAUGUGCAGAAGAAGGACCGGCCAACUACGUGCCAGCCGCCGCGGUAA
rnacentral:rRNA from 1 species